AUACGGAGGAUGCAAGCGUUAUCCGGAUUUAUUGGGUUUAAAGGGUGCGUAGGCUGACGUGUAAGUCAGAGGUGAAAUGCCCGGGCUCAACCUGGGAACUGCCUUUGAUACUGCAUGUCUGGAGUUCGGAUGCCGUGGGAGGAAUGGGCAGUGUAGCGGUGAAAUGCAUAGAUAUUGCCCAGAACACCGAUUGCGAAGGCAUCUCACGAAUCCGACACUGACGCUGAGGCACGAAAGCGUGGGGAUCAAACAGGAUUAGAUACCCUGGUAGUCCACGCAGUAAACGAUGAUAACUAACCGUCGGCGAUAGACAGUCGGUGGCCAAGCGAAAGCGAUAAGUUAUCCACCUGGGGAGUACGUUCGCAAGAAUGAAACUCAAAUGAAUUGGCGGGG
rnacentral:rRNA from 1 species